rnacentral:tRNA from 1 species
GGGCUGGGCUCAGUGACAGAGCCUCUGCUUGGGACGCAGAACGUCCCUGGUUCAAUCCCCAACAUUUCCAGUUCA